AUUGAACGCUGGCGGCAGGCCUAACACAUGCAAGUCGAGCGGAUGAAGGGAGCUUGCUCCUGGAUUCAGCGGAGGACGGGUGAGUAAUGCCUAGGAAUCUGCCUGGUAGUGGGGGAUAACGUCCGGAAACGGGCGCUAAUACCGCAUACGUCCUGAGGAAGAAAGUGGGGGAUCUUCGGACCUCACGCUAUCAGAUGAGCCUAGGUCGGAUUAGCUAGUUGGUGGGGUAAAGGCCUACCAAGGCGACGAUCCGUAACUGGUCUGAGAGGAUGAUCAGUCACACUGGAACUGAGACACGGUCCAGACUCCUACGGGAGGCAGCAGUGGGGAAUAUUGGACAAUGGGCGAAAGCCUGAUCCAGCCAUGCCGCGUGUGUGAAGAAGGUCUUCGGAUUGUAAAGCACUUUAAGUUGGGAGGAAGGGAAGUAAGUUAAUACCUUGCUGUUUUGACGUUAACAACAGAAUAAGCACCGGCUAACUUCGUG
rnacentral:rRNA from 1 species